CUAACCAGAGGGCACAGAGACAGUAUCCAAAAUAACAAAAUCAGAAACAACUGAGAAAAUUAAAAAAAUAUUCAGAUCCUAUUACAAAAGUCUAUACUCAACAAAACUGGAAAACCUGGAUGAAAUGGACAAUUUUCUAAACAGAUACCAGGUACCAAAGUUAAAUCAGGAUCAAAUAAACCAUCUAAACAGCUCCAUAACCCCAAAGGAAAUAGAAGCAGUCAUUAGAAGUCUCCCAACCAAAAAAAGCCCAGGGUCAGAUGGUUUUAGUGCAGAAUUCUAUCAGACCUUCAAAGAAGAAAUAGUUACAAUACUUCUCAAACUAUUGUAUAAAAUAGAAACAGAAGGAAAACUACCCAAUUAUUUCUAUGAAGCCACAGUUACACUGAUAUCUAAUCCAUAAAAAGACCCUCAAAAAAGAGAACUACAUAUCAAUUUCACCUAAAAAUAUCAAUGUAAAAAUACUCAAUAAAUCGCUGCAGUCACUGCCCUGGUUUUCUGGGCGCGUUCGGCCUUUUGUGGUGUGAUGGCUCUUGGAGAGGAGGCAGCAGGCGGCUGCAGCAGAGGGGUUGCCGUCACCUUGGGAUGCCUGUAGGAGGAGGGGUCCAAGGGUCCUCACGGUUUCGGUGCCUUCGUUUUCCUCCGUCAGAGUCGCCGUGCCUUUGGAAAGCAUGAGCUCCGCCCGGGACUCCGCUUUCGAGAAGCAGCAUCUCUGGAUGUACCUGCAGGCGCUGGAUUUGGAUCCGAGUUCCGGCGUCAGGGUCGGCGGGAAGAUGGUAUCCUACGCGCACCUUAGAGAGGACAUGUUUGACAAACUGAACCGUGAUGCCUUUCAUAUAGUUUCCUAUUUUUUGUUUAAAACACUGGAUGAGUCUCUUGCCAAAGAAGUUUUCAGAGAUUGCUGGCCUCCAUUUGACCAAAAACUUGACAUGGAAUUCCGGAAACAUUGCUGUGAAUGGUUAAAAGAGAUUUCUGCUGAAUGUGGGAGUAGUUUUCCUCAGGUUGUUGGCUCAUUGCUUAUGUCUCCCGGUGGUCCUAAGUUUAUUCAUCUGAUGUAUCAUUUUGCAAGAUAUGUUGCAAUCAAAUAUAUUAAAACAAACUCUAACAAUUCUCUACAUUUUGCAGAAACAUUUAAUGCAAAGCCACAAGAUAUGCACAAGUGCCUUGCCAGAUGCCAUGUAGCACGCAACAGAUUUUUACAGGUUUUGCAAAGAGAACAUUAUGUUACCCAAAAAUACCAGGAUAAUGCGCAUCUGAUUGUUAAGCAAGUAUGAAACGCAAGAUCAGAAUGCAUGGGUCUACAAAACCAAAUUAAAAGACUGGGACCCUGUGAUGAAAAGAGUAAUAUACAAGAGAAGAUUCAAAAGGCAUAAAAUAAAAGAGAACGUCACUGCAAUAAGACAUUCUACUGUUGAAAAGGAAGAAAAAUGGCAUACGAAGUGGAAAGGCUUUCUUGGUGUGUCUCCUUUCAGUCUAAUUAAAGGCGGGCCUUCAGCUGUGGAUCUUUUGCCUCCCAUGUCUCCCCUUUCGUUUGAUCCUGUGUCAGAGGAAGUAUAUGCAAAGAGUGUACUUUUUAAGUAUCCUGCGUCACUUCCAGAUUUACAUAAAGAAGUUAAACAAGAAAAUGGUAGCAGAAAAGAAGUGGAUACCCCAGGAAAUGUGUGUGAUGGCGCUGACAGUGUGCUUCGUCCUCAGAUACAAACAGUUUCACACUACUUGAGAAGGAUCCAAAUAUGAGGACUCCCAAAGAGAAAAACGUGCCUUAUAAGAAAAUAGCAGGUUCUGAAUUGGAAGUCUCUCCUUUAUCAGAUACUGCAAAGAAUGCACAGAGUAGUGUAUCCGGAGGGUCUCUGCUGGAGAAAAAGAGUGAUCCAUUCCAGAGAGAGCAAGAUCAGCUGGUGGACGAGUAGCUGAUAUUAGAAGCUCAUGGAGAAAAGCUGUCGAAACUGAAGUUAACAGAAGUUCAGAUGGGAUUCUAGUGGAUGCCAAAGCUGGAGACGUGUCGUCAGAGUCUUCAUCUACACUGCAUAAUCAGAGGGAAUUUAGCAUGGCUAUUUUUUCCCCAGAUUUUGAUGGGUCUUAUUUGCCUGAAGAGAAAGCUGUUCCAGAUCAGCUUACCAGUGUACCUCAGAAACAUCUGGUAACGAGUCAGAUCAGUGAACCCCCAACAGAAGAUGAGUCAGACUUGAUAAAUAAGAAAAUGAUUUGUAAGCAAGAUUUAGAAUGUGCAGCCACCAGGCUUUCAGAAACUAGACAAAUGGAGGCAUUCUCCCCUGCUGUGGGCAGUGGAAUAGAUGUGAUGGGUAGAAGUAAAGAGGACUGUGUUCGACUGUUGGACUACUCACAAGCUUCUUGCAGUGAACCUUCCACGCAUAAGACUUUGCUAUGGGAUUCUUUCCAGAGGUUGAGUGGCAUUGGCAUAUUACAUGAGACUCUUCCAGAAGAAGUUGGUCACCUAAGUCUUAAUAGUUCUACAAAUUCAGAGACCACUUUUCACCUGGAACCAAAGACUUAUGUAGACAGUGAUGCUUUUCCAGAUGGUUUGGGGAAAAGACAAG
rnacentral:lncRNA from 1 species